rnacentral:snoRNA from 1 species
AUUCCAUGAUGAGGACAUUCCCGAAUGUACUCUUGGAGAUGUUCCCAUUCUUCGGGAAUGGUCUCUUCUCCCUUUUGACAGAAGCUAGAAAUUCUUGCCCACAUAGCUGAUGUU